rnacentral:RNase_P_RNA from 2 species
GGAACCGGCUGGACGGUCGCUGUAUCGCUUGCGGUAUGGAGGAAAGUCCGGGCUCCACAGGACAGAGCGCCAGGUAACGCCUGGGCGGCGUAAGCCGACGGAAAGUGCCACAGAAAACACACCGCCUAAGUUCGCAAGAACCGGCAAGGGUGAAAAGGUGCGGUAAGAGCGCACCGCGCGACUGGCAACAGCCGUGGCAGGGUAAACCCCGCUCGGAGCAAGACCAAAUAGGGGGGCAUAUCGCGUGGUCCGCGCGGCUCCCGGGUAGGUCGCUACAGGCGCUUGGCGACAAGCGUCGCAGAGGAAUGACCGUCCUCGACAGAACCCGGCUUAUAGGCCGGUUCCUUUU